rnacentral:rRNA from 1 species
CGAUGAUGCCCAGCUUGCUGGGUGGAUUAGUGGCGAACGGGUGAGUAACACGUGAGUAACCUGCCCCUGACUCUGGGAUAAGCGUUGGAAACGACGUCUAAUACUGGAUAUGAUCGCCGGCCGCAUGGUCUGGUGGUGGAAAGAUUUUUUGGUUGGGGAUGGACUCGCGGCCUAUCAGCUUGUUGGUGAGGUAAUGGCUCACCAAGGCGACGACGGGUAGCCGGCCUGAGAGGGUGACCGGCCACACUGGGACUGAGACACGGCCCAGACUCCUACGGGAGGCAGCAGUGGGGAAUAUUGCACAAUGGGCGAAAGCCUGAUGCAGCAACGCCGCGUGAGGGAUGACGGCCUUCGGGUUGUAAACCUCUUUUAGUAGGGAAGAAGCGAAAGUGACGGUACCUGCAGAAAAAGCACCGGCUAACUACGUGCCAGCAGCCGCGGUAAUACGUAGGGUGCAAGCGUUGUCCGGAAUUAUUGGGCGUAAAGAGCUCGUAGGCGGUUUGUCGCGUCUGCUGUGAAAUCCCGAGGCUCAACCUCGGGCUUGCAGUGGGUACGGGCAGACUAGAGUGCGGUAGGGGAGAUUGGAAUUCCUGGUGUAGCGGUGGAAUGCGCAGAUAUCAGGAGGAACACCGAUGGCGAAGGCAGAUCUCUGGGCCGUAACUGACGCUGAGGAGCGAAAGCAUGGGGAGCGAACAGGAUUAGAUACCCUGGUAGUCCAUGCCGUAAACGUUGGGCGCUAGAUGUAGGGACCUUUCCACGGUUUCUGUGUCGUAGCUAACGCAUUAAGCGCCCCGCCUGGGGAGUACGGCCGCAAGGCUAAAACUCAAAGGAAUUGACGGGGGCCCGCACAAGCGGCGGAGCAUGCGGAUUAAUUCGAUGCAACGCGAAGAACCUUACCAAGGCUUGACAUACACCGGAAACGGCCAGAGAUGGUCGCCCCCUUGUGGUCGGUGUACAGGUGGUGCAUGGUUGUCGUCAGCUCGUGUCGUGAGAUGUUGGGUUAA